rnacentral:rRNA from 1 species
CGCUGAAGUGGAACCGGAGAGAGUUAACUUAACUUGGUAGCUAUAUUCUCUAGGGUCGCUUAACUGUGGCUGUGGGGGAUGGACGCUACCUGUUGUUGCACUGACUGCGUUGAUCGUGCUUUCCGAACAGUGUAGCGUUGCCCACUUUGUGGUGUCUUGCUCGCUGGGAGGUUUGUCAUGGUUAACGUAUAGCCUUAGUCCCGAGGGAGUCAGUGUGAAAGUUAACCACCUUUCCGACCCGUCUUGAAACACGGACCGAGGAGUGUUGGUUAUACGCGAGUCAAGGAGUGGUGAAAACUCUAGGGGCGGAAUGAAAGUAAAGACUAGUUAACUAGUUGACAUGGGAUCCGCUCUUCGGAGCGGCGCACCAUGGCCCUGUCUUGUCUGCUUGCAGAUGGGCAGCGGUAGAGCGUAUAGCUUGCGACCCGAAAGAUGGUGAACUAUGCUUGAGCAGGACGAAGCCAGAGGAAACUCUGGUGGAAGUCCGUAUCGGUUCUGACGUGCAAAUCGAUCGAUAGACUUGAGUAUAGGGGCGAAAGACUAAUCGAACUAUCUAGUA